CGCGAUGCCAACCCGCCGGAGGAGUUCCGUGACUUCGUGGACAGCCUCUUCCUCCACUGCGAUGCGUCCGCGUCGGUGGACACGCUCCGCCUGCGGUCCAGCGACGACUAUGGCUUCGACGAGAAAGAUGCCAACUCGUGGAUCAGGACUGCUGUCAGCCGCAAAGCGCGGGUUAUUCAUCUUGUUGGACAUCGUAAGGGAGUCGCGUCGUUGGGCCGCGUGCCCUUCGUCUCUUGCCACCUCAAGAUCUUGAAGUUGUCGUAUGCCAGGCUCGACGAUAGGAUCCUUGGAAAGCUUUCUUCUAGUUGCAAAUCCUUGGAAGAGCUGGAUCUGAAGGAUUGCUUGGUCACUGGCCCUAAGAUUGUGUCUACCUCUUUGAAGAAAUUAAUCAUGCUCAAAUGCACGUUCAAUUGGGACUUCUACAUUACUGCUCCGAACCUCGUGCUGCUGCGCCUCAUCACACGUUCCGUCCGAUUUCCGUCAUUUAUCAACUUUGGGUCACUGGUCACAGGCACCAUCAUACUUGAUGAUUCUCUCUUGUGUGAUGAUUUUGGAUACAUCAGUGAUGAAGAUAAUUUUGAUGAAACUAGUGAUGAUGAUAACCACAACGAUGAUAAGAGAGAGAACUAUAAGAUUCAUGAUGACUGUUCCUUGAGUGAUGAUGAUUUUGGAUACAUCAGUGAUGAUAAUUUUGGAUACAUCAGUGAUGAUAACCCUGGAUACAUCAGUGAUGAUGGCGAUUUUGAUGAGUUUGGAUUUGGAUAUGGUUUUUCUAAAGGAAGAUAUGGACACAGUCGUUACAAGGAUAAUUAUGAUUAUGGUAGCGAUAUUGAUAGUGAUGACAAUACCUAUGAAUAUAGUGAGAUUGCAAAUGAUGCAAAGUAUGGCUACAAAGGGGCCAAGCUUUCCAGUGAAGAUGGUAAGUAUGGUGGAAACAGUGGUCGAAAUUAUAGUAAGAUUCUAGGUGGCCAAAAUAUGCUUGAGAGCCUUUCUACUGCUACGAGUUUGGAGUUGUUAAGUGAUGCUGGAGAGGUGGUUCUGAGUAGGGAAUUGAAAAGGUGUCCAACUUUUAGCAACCUGAAGACCCUGUCCCUUGGUGAAUAGUGUAUGGCCGCUGAUUUUGAUGCAUUAAUUUUCCUGCUACAGCAUUCACCUAAUAUAAAGAGGCUUUUUCUCCAACUUAAAUUGAACUUCGGCAUGAGGAAGGCAUUGGAAACAGGUAUCAAGCUUGAGAGGAGAUCAUUUACUUGCAAAGACCUUAGAAUGGUUAAGAUCAAAUGCUCAAAGGAUGAUGGGAGAGUCCAUACCUUGGCACAUAUGUUCAGUGCAAAUGGUAUACCCCUUCAGUAUAUUUAUGUGCGUCGGAGCGGGAAUGCUCAUCUCCUCGGCCAGAAGUUUAUGAGGGAACUCGCCAAGCAAGAACUGGAUGAAGAUGGGGACGACUGGAUGUAA
rnacentral:rRNA from 1 species